CUAUGGCUCAGUCGGUCGAGCACGCGCCUUCUAAGGCAAAGGUUGCGGGUUCGAUUCCCGC
rnacentral:tRNA from 1 species